rnacentral:lncRNA from 1 species
UUCUGUAUGCGAAUAUUAGGAGUGUGUGACUUUUGUAAUUGAAUUAUUGCUUUGGCCUGCUGUGGGAGUUCUUGGUAUGUAUGAAACUAUUGGACCUUCAUUCCUGCAAAAUAAACAUCAUAAUUAGUGAAAAAAUCCGCCAGUUGGUUCCCUUCUCUGAAUGUGUGCACCACUCUCACUUGAGAAUUAUGAAUGAUCUCCUUUACAAAUCGAACAUCCGGUGCUAUUAACCAUGGAACCUCCCACGCCCCAUUUAGAACCUUUUCUGCCACUAAUGAAUCUGUUUCUACAAUCAAAGGUAUUAGCCUAUGAUGUAAACAAUAUUCAACUCCCAAUCUGAUGGCUUUAACUUCAUAUUCUACAAUUGUACACUUCUCCAGCAACCUUGUCACUCCAUAGAGCAUAUCUCCAAGUUC